GUUUGGCGGCAACAGCGCUGCGGUACCACUCCUUCCCUUCCCGAACAGGACAGUGAAACGCAGUUGCGCCGAUGAUAGUACGGACUCCCGUGCGAAAGUAGGGAACCGCCAAACUCU
rnacentral:rRNA from 1 species